rnacentral:misc_RNA from 1 species
CUGGACGGAGUGAAGAUCAAGGGAUUGCAGUUGAUUCACCCACAUUUUUGGGGGGAAAAAUUGAUCGGAGAAGAACAGGAGUGGGAUCGGAAGGACUUAUUCGUGGUGGAGAAUCUGUGGUUUAUGGUUUCGAAGGAUAUUAAGAAUUUGGAUCACCCGAUUGUGAAUCCAGAGCACGACCCGGAUUUGGGGCGGCUUGCGGCAGAGAGAGUGGCGGUUUAUGUGGCGGAGAAAGACAAUCUGAAGGUGAGAGGACGGCAUUACGCAGAAUGUCUGAAGAAAUCAGGAUGGAAAGGCACCGUCGAGGUGGUGGAGACCACCGGCGAAGGCCACGUAUUCCAUUUGUUCAAUCCGACCUGCGACAUGGCGGGGGAACUGGUAAAACAGCUGGCGGCGUUCACCAGCAGCGGCCGCAGUGGUUAAUUGAAGUUCAGUGAAAGAAAGGGUAAGAAAGUAAUUGCUCAUACCUUCUUCCUUGUCGUCGG